rnacentral:rRNA from 1 species
GAUGAACGCUGGCGGCGUGCCUAAUACAUGCAAGUCGAGCGAACAGACGAGGCUCUUGCUUCGCUGACGUGAGCGGCGGACGGGUGAGUAAUACGUGGCUAACCUACCUAUAAGACUGGGAUACCGUCGGGAAACCGGAGCUAAUACCGGAUAAUAUAUUGAACCGCAUGGUUCAUUAGUGAAAGACGGUUUUGCUGUCACUUAUAGAUGGUUCCUCGCCGCAUUAGCUAGUUGGUAAGGUAACGGCUUACCAAGGCAACGAUGCGUAGCCGACCUGAGAGGAUGAUCGGCCACACUGGAACUGAGACACGGUCCAGACUCCUACGGGAGGCAGCAGUAGGGAAUCUUCCGCAAUGGGCGAAAGCCUGACGGAGCAACGCCGCGUGUGUGAUGAAGGUCUUCGGAUCGUAAAACUCUGUUAUUAGGGAAGAACAAAUGUGUAAGUAACUAUUCACGUCUUGACGGUACCUAAACAGAAAGCCACGGCUAACUACGUG